GCAUAUCAAUAAGCGGAGGAAAAGAAACCAACAGGGAUUGCCUCAGUAACGGCGAAGUGAAGCGGCAACAGCUCAAAUUUGAAAUCUGGCCUCUGGCCCGAGUUGUAAUUUGCAGAGGAUGUUUCUGGCGAGGUGCCUUCCGAGUUCCCUGGAACGGGACGCCAUAGAGGGUGAGAGCCCCGUACGGUUGGUCGCUAAGCCUCUGUGAAACUCCUUCGACGAGUCGAGUAGUUUGGGAAUGCUGCUCUAAAUGGGAGGUGUACGCCUUCUAAAGCUAAAUAUAGGCUAGAGACCGAUAGCGCACAAGUAGAGUGAUCGAAAGAUGAAAAGCACUUUGAAAAGAGGGUUAAAUAGUACGUGAAAUUGUUGAAAGGGAAGCGCUCUUGACCAGACUUGCGCCGGUUGAUCAUCCACCGUUCUCGGUGGUGCACUCUGCCGGCUCAGGCCAGCAUCAGUUCGGCUUGGGGGAUAAAGGCUUCGGGAAUGUGGCUCUCUCCGGGGAGUGUUAUAGCCCGUUGCGUAAUACCCUGGGCCGGACUGAGGUUCGCGCAUCUGCAUGGAUGCUGGCGUAAUGGUCAUCAGUGACCCGUCUUGAAACACGGACCAAGGAGUCGUCUUCGUAUGCGAGUGUUCGGGUGUCAAACCCCUACGCGUAAUGAAAGUGAACGUAGGAGAGAGCUUCGGCGCAUCUCCGACCGAUCCUGAUGUUCUCGGAUGGAUUUGAGUAAGAGCAUACGGGGCCGGACCCGAAAGAAGGUGAACUAUGCCUGUAUAGGGUGAAGCCAGAGGAAACUCUGGUGGAGGCUCGCAGCGGUUCUGACGUGCAAAUCGAUCGUCAAAUAUGGGCAUGGGGGGCGAAAGACUAAUCGAACCUUCUAGUAGCUGGGUUUCCGGCCGA
rnacentral:rRNA from 1 species